rnacentral:misc_RNA from 1 species
UACGUAGGGGGCAAGCGUUGUCCGGAAUGAUUGGGCGUAAAGGGCACGCAGGCGGUGGUGUAAGUUUGGUGUUUAAGCCCGGGGCUCAACCCUGGAGCGCACUGAAAACUGCAUCACUUGAGUGCAGAAGAGGAGAGUGGAAUUCCACGUGUAGCGGUGAAAUGCGUAGAGAUGUGGAGGAACACCAGUGGCGAAGGCGACUCUCUGGUCUGUAACUGACGCUGAGGUGCGAAAGCGUGGGGAGCAAACAGG